GGCCCGUUCGUCUAGUGGUUAGGACUUCAGGUUUUCAUCCUGGCAACAGGGGUUCGAUUCCCCUACGGGCUA
rnacentral:tRNA from 1 species